AAUGAAGACAGUAAUGACAUAAUAGUCAGUUGUACCUUUAAAUAUGUGUUUGUCAAAGCAUAUUGGAUUCAUUUAGUCUCAUAUUGUGUUUUCAUUUAGUCUGUUAUAAUAAUGAAGACAGUAAUGACAUAAUAGUCAGUUGUACCUUUAAAUAUGUGUUUGUCAAAGCAUAUUGGAUUCAUUUAGUCUGUUAUAAUAAUGAAGACAGUAAUGACAUAAUAGUCAGUUGUACCUUUAAAUAUGUGUUUGUCAAAGCAUAUUGGAUUCAUUUAGUCUGUUAUAAUAAUGAAGACAGUAAUGACAUAAUAGUCAGUUGUACCUUUGAGAUUAAAACAUAUGUUUAAAUCAGUGUAAAUGUGGAGUGUUUGUGUGUGUUUUGUGUGUUUGUCAGUGUGUGUGUGUGUGUGUGUAGUGUGUGGUUGUCAGUGUGUGUGUGUAAUGUGUGUUUGUCAGUGUGUAGUGUGUGUGUCUCAGUGUGUAAUGUGUGUUUGUCAGUGUUUGUGUGUGUGUAUGUGUGUGUUUGACAGUGUGUGUGUGUGUGUGUAGUGUGUGUUUGUAAUGUGUGUUUGUCAGUGUGUGUGUUUGUAGAGAAAGAGGAGGUGUAUACUAGAACCAGCACAGAGAGAACAGACUGAGGACAGACCUUAUUGAAUGUACUGUGACAGGAGUAGUGUAGGGUGUAGUGAAGGUACUGUAACAGGAGUAGUGUAGGGUGUAGUGAAGGUACUAUAACAGGAAUAGUGUAGGGUGUAGUGAAGGUACUGUAACAGGAGUAGUGUAGGGUGUAGUGAAGGUACUAUAACAGGAGUAGUGUAGGGUGUAGUGAAGGUACUGUAACAGGAGUAGUGUAGGGUGUAGUGAAGGUACUGUAACAGGAGUAGUGUCAGGUGUAGUGAAGGUACUUGUAACGGGAAUUUCAUAAUUCCUAUAUGUGUUCAUCAACCAAUUCAAUUAAAAUCACUCUGUCUGUUUCUAAGAAUUUGUAAGAUCCUUAUUUGCAUAAAACAGACAGAGACCAGUCUAUCAAAAGUUAGUCAAUAGCAUUUAUUCUCGGAGCG
ensembl:lncRNA